CUAAGAAUAUUCCGCAAUGGACGAAAGUCUGACGGAGCGACGCCGCGUGGAUGAUGAAGGCCGAAAGGUUGUAAAGUUCUUUUACUGGGGAAGAAUAAGCCUGGGAGGGAAUGCCCGGGUGAUGACAUGAACCGGUGAAUAAGCCCCGGCCAACUACGUGCCAGCAGCCGCGGUAACACGUAGGGGGCGAGCGUUGUUCGGAAUUACUGGGCGUAAAGGGCAUGUAGGCGGUCUGGUAAGCCUGGCGUGAAAGUCUGCAGCUUAACUGCAGGAAUGCGCUGGGAACUGCUGGGCUUGAGUGACGGAGAGGGAGCUGGAAUUCCUGGUGUAGGGGUGAAAUCUGUAGAUAUCAGGAAGAACACCGAUGGCGAAGGCAAGCUCCUGGCCGAUGACUGACGCUGAGGUGCGAAAGUGUGGGGAUCAAAACAGGAUUAGAUACCCUGGUAGUCCACACAGUAAACGAUGUGCACUAGGUGCUGGGGCGGUAGCUUCAGUGCCGGAGCGAACGUGGUAAGUGCACCGCCUGGGGGAGUAUGCUCGCAAGGGCGAAAACUCAAAUGAAUUGACGGGGGUCAUA
rnacentral:rRNA from 1 species